UUCGCAAUGCCCGAAAGGGUGACAAUGCGACGCCGCGUGAGCGAUGAAGGCCUUCGGGUUGUAAAGCUCUGUCAGCUGGGAUGAAAGGCUAGUGGUUAAUAACCGCAUAGCUUGACGGUACCGGCAAAGGAAGCCACGGCUAACUCCGUGCCAGCAGCCGCGGUAAUACGGAGGUGGCAAGCGUUGUUCGGAUUUACUGGGUGUAAAGGACAUGUAGGUGUCCCACUAAGUCGGAUGUGAAAUCCCUUGGCUUAACCAAGGAACUGCACCCGAUACUGGCGGGAUUGAGUACGGGAGAGGUUAGCGGAAUUCCGGAAGUAAGGGUGAAAUCUGUAGAUAUCCGGAGGAACACCAUUAGCGAAGGCGGCUUACUGGUCCGAUACUGACGCUGAAAUGUGAAAGCUAGGGGAGCAAACAGGAUUAGAUACCCUGGUAGUCCUAGCCGUAAACGAUGGGCACUAAGUAGAGGGGUUUU
rnacentral:rRNA from 1 species